GCCAGCAUGGCAUAGUGGUUUGAGCAUUGGACUACAACUCUGGAGACCAGGGUUUGAUUCCCUUCCCAGCCA